rnacentral:rRNA from 1 species
GACGAACGCUGGCGGCGUGCUUAACACAUGCGAGUCGAACGGAAAGGCCCUGCUUUUGUGGGGUGCUCGAGUGGCGAACGGGUGAGUAACACGUGAGUAACCUGCCCUUGACUUUGGGAUAACUUCAGGAAACUGGGGCUAAUACCGGAUAGGAGCUCCUGCUGCAUGGUGGGGGUUGGAAAGUUUCGGCGGUUGGGGAUGGACUCGCGGCUUAUCAGCUUGUUGGUGGGGAAGUGGCUUACCAAGGCUUUGACGGGUAGCCGGCCUGAGAGGGUGACCGGCCACAUUGGGACUGAGAUACGGCCCAGACUCCUACGGGAGGCAGCAGUGGGGAAUAUUGCACAAUGGGCGGAAGCCUGAUGCAGCAACGCCGCGUGCGGGAUGACGGCCUUCGGGUUGUAAACCGCUUUCGCCUGUGACGAAGCGUGAGUGACGGUAAUGGGUAAAGAAGCACCGGCUAACUACGUG